rnacentral:rRNA from 1 species
CAAGAUCAGGCCUAACACAUGCAAGUCGAGCGGAAACGAUGGUAGCUUGCUACCAGGCGUCGAGCGGCGGACGGGUGAGUAAUACUUAGGAAUCUACCUAGUAGUGGCGGGGAUAGCACGGGGAAACUCUGUAUUAAUACUCGCAUACGACCUACGGGAGAAAGGGGGCAGGUUUACUGCUCUCGCUAUUAGAUGAGCCUAAGUCGGAUUAGCUAGAUGGUGGGGUAAAGGCCUACCCAUGGCGACGAUCUGUAGCUGGUCUGAGAGGAUGAUCAGCCACACCGGGACUGAGACACGGCCCGGACUCCUACGGGAGGCAGCAGUGGGGAAUAUUGGACAAUGGGGGAAACCCUGAUCCAGCCAUGCCGCGUGUGUGAAGAAGGCCUUUUGGUUGUAAAGCACUUUAAGCAGUGAAGAAGACUCUUCGGUUAAUACCCGGAGACGAUGACAUUAGCUGCAGAAUAAGCACCCGGCUAACUCUGUGCCAGCAGCCGCGGUAAUACAGAGGGUGCAAGCGUUAAUCGGAAUUACUGGGCGUAAAGCGAGCGUAGGUGGCUUGAUAAGUCAGAUGUGAAAUCCCCGGGCUUAACCUGGGAACUGCAUCUGAAACUGUUAGGCUAGAGUAGGUGAGAGGGAAGUAGAAUUUCAGGUGUAGCGGUGAAAUGCGUAGAGAUCUGAAGGAAUACCGAUGGCGAAGGCAGCUUCCUGGCAUCAUACUGACACUGAGGCUCGAAAGCGUGGGUAGCAAACAGGAUUAGAUACCCUGGUAGUCCACGCCGUAAACGAUGUCUACUAGUCGUUGGGUCCCUUGAGGACUUAGUGACGCAGCUAACGCAAUAAGUAGACCGCCUGGGGAGUACGGCCGCAAGGUUAAAACUCAAAUGAAUUGACGGGGGCCCGCACAAGCGGUGGAGCAUGUGGCUUAAUUCGAUGCAACGCGAAGAACCUUACCUGGUCUUGACAUAUCUAGAAUCCUGCAGAGAUGCGGGAGUGCCUUCGGGAAUUAGAAUA